CUUUCUGGUCCAGAGCCCCCACAGGAAGGAGAAAUGAAAAGAUUACUGUUGACUGCACAGUUCCAGGGGCCAAGGCAGAAGAAAUCCUGGAGAAAGGUCCAAAGACAGCGAUCUCCUGGACAUGAAAGAUGGACAAGCUGAUACCCAGCUUGAGCUCUCAAGAGAACAGAAAGGCGUCUCACACUCUCCACAAAGCUAGAAACAAACAACACUGUGGAGGAUUUUUACUGGUCAUACAUUGGGUCAUGUGCCCUUCCCUGAGCCAAUCUGCAGUCAGAAGGAUGAAGUACUCUAAUUGGCCAGUUUUGGGUCACGUGCCUGUUCCUGGCUGUCAUUGCACCAACACAUCAGGGAAUGGGGAGUUGAGGAGUGAGGAGCUUCCCCUACACAGAGAGACGGUGGGUAGCCCAUUUGUCCGCUAAAACCUUCAAGAUACAUCUAGAAUGCAUCCAUCCACAUCGUGCUAGGCUGAGCUACUAUCACCUGGUACUUGGAACCGCCUCCUCACUGGUCUACCGUCUCCCUUGCAAACAUUUUCUACAACAGCCAGUAAUCCCUAAACAUGAAUCCCAUCACAUCACUCUCUUCCUGUGCUCAGCUUCCCAUUCUCAAGGGAAGUCCUCCCAUCUUCUAAAGAAUAUCUACCUACCCAGCCCAAUUAUAUAUGAGCUUUUUAGGUUUUUUUUUUUAGAGCAAAGGAAUGACAGGUUUUGUCAAGCUGCAGGUGACUAUAAGAUACAGACAGCUGACAAUUGUGGACUCCUCAGGCGUGGUGAAAGAUUGAGCUACUAUCAUUAGGGUUGGCUGGCUAGGACCCCGGCAGGCACCUGGGGAUAGUAGUGCUGGGAAGUUCUGGGGAGUUGCACUUCUGAAUGCUGGCAUGACACUGCCUCAAGACAUCUCUCUAUCCAAAUGGAAAAAACAACCACAUCCUUUGUCAGCUAAGGAGAGUUAGCAAACUGUUUUUAUUAAAUACUGAUGUCUGGCCGGGCACGGUGGCUCACGCCUGUCAUGCUAGCACUUUGGGAGGCCGAGGCGGGUGGAUCACUUGAGGCCAGUAGUUCAAGACCAGCCUGGCCAACAUGGUGAAACCCCAUCUCUACUAAAAAUACAAAAUUAGCCGGGCGUGGUGGCGGGCGCUUGUAAUCCCAGCUACCCGGGAGACUGAGUUAGGAGAAUCGCGUGAACCCAGGAGGCGGAGGUUGCAGUGAGCCGAGAUCGCGCCACUGCACUCCAGCCUGGGUGACGGAGUGGGACUCUGUCUCUAAAUACAUAAAUAAAUAAAUAAAUAAAUAAAUAAAUAAAUAAAUAAAAAUACUGAUGUCUCCAAGCUUUGGCUAUGUGUUGCAAUGUACAACCUUUCCAAUGUCGCUGCACCAUUGCAUUUAGAGGAAAUCUCCAUUCCCUAACAGGAACUACAAGGCCCC
rnacentral:lncRNA from 1 species